rnacentral:misc_RNA from 1 species
AUUAAAUCAUCUUGUGAGUAUAUAAUAAUUUUUCCGUUAGCAUGGUACACUUACGUAGGUCUGUCAAAUCAUUGUGUUAUAUCUAAAUCUCAUUGGCCUUUCCUAGAAAGCAGAAUUAAAAAUUAAAUAAAAUUAUAAAUGAACGUUCCAUCUGAGUUCUGACAGGUUUCCUAGAGCAGGAAAUCCCCCAGCUCGUAGGAUUGCAGGUAGCAGAACAGAACCCAUGUCUGGAGAUACGUGGCUCCUUCUUCAGUCUUGCUUUUGCCCAUUGAUUGGAAGCAUCUUCGUUGCCAUUGGAUUGUCCAAAAAUCUGAGGAAAAAAGAAUUCUCGUCGACAAGAGGGUACAAAAAAAGAGCCAUCUCUUUGUUUUGAAAGUUUGACUAGUCUAUAUAUGGGGAAAAUAUUUUGUCAAAAAGGAGGAAAAAAAGAAAAGAAAAAAGAAAGAAGCCAAGAAGCCUCAGAAGCACAGCUAAACUGGGGAUUCCAUUAAACACUUGAUCUCAUAUACGUUUUCCCUUUUUCUCACUAGUCUGAACUUAACUAUUGAAAUCCCUACUCCUUAGUUUCUGUUGCUGCUGGGAUCCUAGGAAUUUGGAGAAGUUGCAAAGAAAGGGUUUAUUGACUUUUGCUUCUCUGUGGGGACUUCUUGUGCUUUUGUUAUGGCAUCUGUAGCUAUGAAUCAUUCCACUGAAGGACACCCACAGGAUGGUUUGAAUUUAUUGCACCUCAGUUUGUGAAUAUAUAUCAUUUGUUUGUGGCAUAUUGGGCUAUAAUGCAAUUACAAGGAUUUUAUAUGUAACGGGUAUUGAACGGUAUAUAGGAAUGCGUAAACAUCUAUGGAUUAAUUGACAUCUCCCCUGUAUUUGUGAUGAUUAGUUGAUCCAUUGAUGUUGAAACAACUGUAAUUAUUUCCUUUGGCCUCUUAAUGUACCUUGAGGAAAUGAAUUCAACUACAGAUUUGCUUUGGUUACGAGAUUGAAAAUAUGACAAAGCAGGCUCAAUUGAUUAGUCUAAAAAGUAUUUCACAUUAUUAAUUAGUUUUAGGCCUUACCUUAUUCUUUGUUCCAUCUUAUGAAAUCUAACUGAUUUGUGCAUUAUACUAAUAGGGGGUUGCAAUGAUGCUCUGUAUAAGCAACUAUGGCAUGCUUGUGCUGGACCUCUAGUCUCCCUUCCUUUUGUAGGGGAACAAGUUUACUAUUUUCCACAAGGUCACAUAGAACAUGAGCUUGGAGCUCUGGUACAUCAGGAUUUAGAGCAGCAAAUGCCCCCAUCUAAUCUUCCAUCUAAAAUUCUUUGUAAAGUGAUCAAAGUUGAUCUUCAGGCUGACCCUAAAACAGACCAAGUAUGUGCAUAUAUAUAUCAC